AAAGUCGUAACAAGGUUUCCGUAGGUGAACCUGCGGAAGGAUCAUUACCUAGAGUUUGUGGGCUUUGCCCGCUACCUCUUACCCAUGUCUUUUGAGUACUUACGUUUCCUCGGCGGGUUCGCCCGCCGACUGGACAAACCUAUAACCUUUUUAAUUUUCAAUCAGCGUCUGAAAAACUUAAUAAUUACAACUUUCAACAACGGAUCUCUUGGUUCUG
rnacentral:misc_RNA from 1 species